GGCCAAGUGACGUUGAAACACCUGCUCCCGUACGAUCAUCUAAGUUAAGCAAUGUUGAGUCUGGUCAGUACUUAGAUCGGUAACCACUUAGAAAUACCGAGUG